rnacentral:rRNA from 1 species
CAGCAGCCGCGGGAAUACGUAGGGUGCGAGCGUUAAUCGGAAUUACUGGGCGUAAAGCGUGCGCAGGCGGUUAUGUAAGACAGGUGUGAAAUCUCCGGGCUUAACCUGGGAACUGCGCUUGUGACUGCACAGCUAGAGUAUGGCAGAGGGGGGUGGAAUUCCACGUGUAGCAGUGAAAUGCGUAGAGAUGUGGAGGAACACCGAUGGCGAAGGCAGCCCCCUGGGCCAAUACUGACGCUCAUGCACGAAAGCGUGGGGAGCAAACAGGAUUAGAUACCCCGGUAGUCCCUGUCUCUUAUAC